rnacentral:rRNA from 1 species
UACGUAGGGUGCGAGCGUUGUCCGGAAUUAUUGGGCGUAAAGAGCUCGUAGGUGGUUUGUCGCGUUGUCCGUGAAAACUCACAACUCAAUUGUGGGCGUGCGGGCGAUACGGGCAGACUGGAGUACUGCAGGGGAGACUGGAAUUCCUGGUGUAGCGGUGGAAUGCGUAGAUAUCAGGAGGAACACCGGUGGCGAAGGCGGAUCUCUGGGCCAUUACUGACGCUGAGGAGCGAAAGCGUGGGGAGCGAACAGG